rnacentral:lncRNA from 1 species
AGGAAUGCAGGAAGAGUCUCNGGAUCAGGAGCCCACAGGCUGGACUCACACCAGCUACUGCAGAGUCAGAACGAAGACUCANGAGGGAUGGCUCCACAGCAAGAAUCACCCUUUGGUUAACCCAUGGCAACCCUCGGCACAGCCAGGGGCUUGGCUACUCGUUCUGGUGCCCCGUGGCGCAGCUCAGGACCUUAGAGUCUAAUCAUCAGCUCGGAUCAGAGGGCAACUUGGGCCGCCUACCUGAGGCCGUGGCCGCCGUGGCGUCUGCUUUGUCUGGAACCAGCCUGAUGCCAUCAGACACGUCCACCUGGUGAUCAGCCUCCUCCCUUGAGGCCCCAUCAUGCUGUGGUGACAGAGGAUUGCUUCUAA